GACUCUCGACAACGGAUAUCUCGGCUCACGCAUCGAUGAAGAACGUAGCAAAAUGCGAUACUUGGUGUGAAUUGCAGAAUCCCGUGAACCAUCGAGUUUUUGAACGCAAGUUGCGCCCGAAGCCUUUUGGUCGAGGGCACGUCUGCCUGGGCGUCACAC
rnacentral:rRNA from 1 species